ensembl:snoRNA SNORA41 small nucleolar RNA SNORA41
UUCCACAGCUACUGGUCUGCAGCUGUUUUUAUGGUAGCAGUUGUGGCAUUCCUCUGUGGGAAAGAAACUGUUACACAACUAAACACCUCUUUCUCAGCAAAAUAGAAAGUGGGCAUAUGUGUGACAAACACAA